AUCCCUUCCCAUUGCAGGUUUCCAAGCUUAAGUCAGACGUUCUCUGAUGAAGGGGAGAGAAUUAAAUUACACGCACAAAAAGUCAAGCUUUGAAAAUAGAUAAACCUACAACUAAGAGAAGAAAAACUGUGGGAUCUGCUGACAAACCUCAGCUGUCCAGAAAAAAGUUGUCCAUCUUAAGCCAUUAUCCCUGCUAAUGACCAUCUCGGCUAAGAAGCACAGUUUAUUCAGAGGGGCACGCACAGCAGAGACAUGGUCAGAGCAACUCUGUGGAGCAGCCCGGUCAUCGCUCCCGGAGGUAACUGGCGGUGACCACAGCCUGGUCAUCGCACCUGGAGGCAGCCGGCAGUGACCGCGUUCAGCUGCCUGACUUCAUUCCUUCACUAGGAGCAAGAUCACCCUCGAUUUUCUAAAAGACCCACAUCAGCAAGCAAAUCAGCAACCAGGACACAGAGCAAGCUCUGACGACGCAGCAGCCCACCUCCGGCAUUUUUCCCUCCUUUGUUAUAAUUUAUAUACACAGCCUAGAGGCAUGGUGCCAGGCAUGAAAGACCGUUGAAAACACAGCCCCAGCCCUCAGGAAGUUUCUGUAAGAUGACGUAAUGGUUAACACAGAAGAAACCACGGGGAAGAAAGCAAAGCAAAGACUACGUCCGAUUACAUGAACAGUUAUGACGGGAAGGACUAGAUCGAGCGCCGAAGGAUGAGGGUCAGCUCCCAAGGUCAACUGAUGCAGUUGCUCUGUUAUCCACCCACCAAGAAACUAAGUGAAUAAAGAAUGUAUUCCAUUUUCCAUAUGAACACAGCUCAGAAGUUCUGCAUUUUCCUGUCUGUGCAAGCACAACUAGCAUGGUUGAUGCUGAACAUCUGGAACCCUUCUGGCCAUGUGGAACUUGGAACACAGCCUUUGGCGUCCUUGCCAAGGGUGUGUGUAUUCACAACUUAGGGAGGAAUCCCAAGUCGAAUUCCACAGUUAAGAGCAAAUAGAGUUUUUAACAUACUGAAAAAGUACUCUUCUGUGUGGUAGAGAAACACAGCCAGUAAAAGAUGGAACCUCGGGACAACCCAAAUGUCAGCGUGGCACAUCUCCUGCAGAAUCUGGAUGUACUCAGAGAUUCCAGUGAUUUUAUGUUCUUAACAGAGCCCAGAUGCUCCUAAGUAUUCCCGAUAUUAUUAAAAAUUAAACUGAAUAUAA